rnacentral:rRNA from 1 species
GAUGAACGCUGGCGGCGUGCCUAAUACAUGCAAGUCGAGCGAAUGGAUUAAGAGCUUGCUCUUAUGAAGUUAGCGGCGGACGGGUGAGUAACACGUGGGUAACCUGCCCAUAAGACUGGGAUAACUCCGGGAAACCGGGGCUAAUACCGGAUAACAUUUUGAACCGCAUGGUUCGAAAUUGAAAGGCGGCCUCGGCUGUCACUUAUGGAUGGACCCGCGUCGCAUUAGCUAGUUGGUGAGGUAACGGCUCACCAAGGCAACGAUGCGUAGCCGACCUGAGAGGGUGAUCGGCCACACUGGGACUGAGACACGGCCCAGACUCCUACGGGAGGCAGCAGUAGGGAAUCUUCCGCAAUGGACGAAAGUCUGACGGAGCAACGCCGCGUGAGUGAUGAAGGCUUUCGGGUCGUAAAACUCUGUUGUUAGGGAAGAACAAGUGCUAGUUGAAUAAGCUGGCACCUUGACGGUACCUAACCAGAAAGCCACGGCUAACUACGUGCCAGCCGCCGCAGUAA